rnacentral:misc_RNA from 1 species
AGCAGCCGCGGUAAUUCCAGCUCCAAUAGCGUAUAUUAAAGUUGUUGCAGUUAAAAAGCUCGUAGUUGAAUUUCGGGAUUGGCGCAUCGGUCGUGCCUUACGGGGUAUGAACUGGUGCAGUCAAUUUCUCACCUUCUGGAGAACCGCGAUGUCCUUAAUUGGGUGCCGCGGGGAACCAGGACCUUUACUUU